GUUUGAGGUAUGACUGAGUAAUAUAAACGAUAUGACUAAGUUAUCUAAAUGACACGGCUGAGUUAUAUAAACAUUUUUUUGAUUUUAGGGUAUGUUUGAGGUAUGACUGAGUUAUAUAAACGACACGGCUGAUUUGUGUAAACAUAGCAUAAGUCAAAUACAAAAUACAUGGAUGUGUUAUGUUUCUUACAUAGAAAACCAAAAAUACAGUUUUUAUGCACUAUUCCGGUGAUAACU
rnacentral:lncRNA from 1 species